rnacentral:lncRNA from 1 species
GGGGUGACAUAUUGUUAUUGUUCGUUUCUUCUUUUUCUUAUUAUUAUGUCACCCGAUCGACAAUGUCGGGUGACAUAUUGCUAUUCCUCUGUUUCUUUUUCACUAUUAUUAUUAUUAUUAUUAUUCUUCCACCUAAUUUUGUCCGGCAGUUUUCUCAGAGCCAAAGGAACCAAUCUGAAUGAUGGUGCACUAUAACAAGGAACCCUGACUUUCCAGUUGCAGUGCAACUUUGGAACUAAAAAAAUGGCUGCCAUCACCAUG